rnacentral:lncRNA from 1 species
UGUUAGCCUUAUUGCAGCCCUACUACAGGGAAGGAAGGAAAGAGUCUUAAGACCCCUUGAGUCCAAUUUGUGAAAGAGUAGAAAUGGCCCCGGAGACAAAGAUGGCGGCAACAGCGAUGGGCGACGAGACUCCAAGGGAAAGGAGGCUGUCGGCUGCUUAGGGCUAUCAAUCUGACAUACUUCUCUAGUUCUACGUGGAGACUAAAAUACCAUUUAA